rnacentral:rRNA from 1 species
UACGAAGGGGGCUAGCGUUGCUCGGAAUCACUGGGCGUAAAGCGCACGUAGGCGGCUUUUAAGUCAGGGGUGAAAUCCUGGAGCUCAACUCCAGAACUGCCUUUGAUACUGAGAAGCUUGAGUCCGGGAGAGGUGGAGUGGAACUGCGAGUGUAGAGGUGAAAUUCGUAGAUAUUCGCAAGAACACCAGUGGCGAAGGCGGCUCACUGGCCCGG